GCCGAGGUAGCUCAGUUGGUUAGAGCGUCCGCAUGGUAAGCGGGAGGCCGGCGGUUCGAAUCCGCCUCUCGGCU
rnacentral:tRNA from 1 species